rnacentral:rRNA from 1 species
UACAGAGGUCCCAAGCGUUGUUCGGAUUCACUGGGCGUAAAGGGUGCGUAGGCGGUCGGGUAAGUCUGACGUGAAAUCUCCGGGCCUAACCCGGAAACUGCGUCGGAUACUAUCCGGCUAGAGGAUUGGAUGGGAGACUGGAAUACUUGGUGUAGCAGUGAAAUGCGUAGAUAUCAAGUGGAACACCAGUGGCGAAGGCGAGUCUCUGGACAAUUCCUGACACUGAGACACGAAGGCCAGGGGAGCAAACGGG